GGCCACAUCUGGAGGACAGAGGAACAUAAAGGUCCUUUUCUUGGGAUAGGUGCGCCAAUAAGUGAUGGCAAAGAGAAGACAGGGCUGCUCAGUUCUUACUUGUUUCUGUGAAGGAGAAUGACCUUUACCUUGGAAUGGAAGGGACAAAAGUGGCUAACAGCGAAUUGAUGUCCAAGAUCAGUAAGGAGAUACUCACGAAGCACCAGCUGCCCCUGGUGAGUUCCAGUUCCCUGCCCCCCAGUGAACUACAUUCUUGGACCCUGAAAGUCCUGGCAGCUGUGAGGGCUGAACCAACGUCAGUAAUCUCCAAAAGAUCAUGAAAAAUGGGAGAGGCACCACAAGACUGGAGGAGGGAAAAUGUGCCCUGCUUUUCAAAGAAGGAAAGUGAGCUCAACUUCGACGCUGGGCAAACCCCAGACCGGGUCAUCAAAGGGAGGUGUGGAGAACACCUGGAAAGAGGAGCAGUAGUGAGCAAGAGGCAGCAGGACCUCCCCCUGAAUAGGUCACACCAACAUGGAUCCAUGUAAAAUUGGAAAGGUUUUGCCCAAACAAAUCUCGAGCAGCUUCAGAGGAAGCUGAGGAGACAUCUAAGAAUGGAUUCCAACUAAAGGGAGGAGCAGAACUGUGAAGACAACUUGGAACUCUGAUUAAUGAAAUCAUAAACCACCAAUCCAGAGGCCUGGAGAAGAACCACGCCCCCUUCUGGCCACAAGGUGAGCGGUGAGCGGCUUGAACUCCAGAAUGAGACAAACAUUUUUGGACUUGACCAAUGAGAGAAUUGGCUCUAUUAGACUAUACCUGCUCUCCAGUGCUGUGUUCUGUUCUGGGCACCAGAGCUGAAGAGGGAAAUCGAUGAGCUGGAGAAUGGUCAGAGGACAGCAGGCAGGCUGAUGGAGGGCCUGGAGUUCCCAUCGGAUGAGGAGCAGCUGCAGAAAAUGGAGAUGUCUCCCCUGCUGAUGAAAGGCCUCCAGAGACACAGAGAUGUCUCUAAGUCUCUGGAGGGCUGUCACGUGGAGGAAAAGACUGGAUGCUCAAUCCAUUUGGCCUCAAAGGGCCAAAGAACCAGCAGCAGUGGUGGAAAGUUACCAAGAAGCAAAUUUAGGCUCAGUGUUAGGAAAAGCCUGCUAACAAUGAGAGCUGCUCCAAAGUGGAAUGGGCUAUCUGUCUCAAAAGUGGCUGUUGGAACAUCCAUCCUCUGCAUGGAAAAGUCAUCAGCUGAAGACCUGGAUUCCACUGCCUUGGCACUGCUUUUUCGUUGUGGAUAUAUCUUGAUGGAAGUGCUCCUCAUUCUCAGAACUGAUAUUAUCUUGGAUUUCUGGGGGAAAAGGUUCAUGUGUGAAUCUGAGAAUUGAAUAUUGAGUCAGAUCUCAUACCUUUACAACACUGGCUUAUUGAUAAACAUUUAACAAGUGGCUCUCCAGGAAGUUAGGGGGAAUGUGCACAGGACACACCUUGAAGUUGAAUCUGUAUUAUUCACAUUUUCUCGGUUACUUUUUAAAGUGUAGACAAUCAACAAAAUAAUAAAUCAAGCCCUGAUCUGUAGGGUUUGUGGACUUCCAAAGUAUUAAUGUUCACACUAAAAAUUUAACAACCGGCUCUCUGGGAGCUGGCUCCAGUACAUCCCUUCUUUGUUGGUUU